CAAUAGCGUAUAUUAAAGUUGUUGCAGUUAAAAAGCUCGUAGUUGGAUUUCUGGUGGGAGCGAUCGGUCUGGCGCUUAGCGCGAGUACUUGCAUCGUCUCCGGCCAUCCUUGGGGAGAGUCUGUCUGGCAUGAGGUUGUCGGGCAGAGGAUCCUCAUCGUUUACUGUGAAAAAAUUAGAGUGUUCAAAGCAGGCUUAUGCCGUUGAAUAUAUUAGCAUGGAAUAAUAAGAUAGGACUUUGGUACUAUUUUGUUGGUUUGCGCACCAAAGUAAUGAUUAAUAGGGACAGUUGGGGGUAUUCGUAUUCCGUUGUCAGAGGUGAAAUUCUUGGAUUUACGGAAGACGAACUACUGCGAAAGCAUUUACCAAGGAUGUUUUCAUUAA
rnacentral:rRNA from 1 species